GACCUUGGAACACCGGGUCAGCGCCAGGCAUGAACACUGCCUACGCACUUGCUCAUUGUUCCCGAGACUGGCCUGGAAGGGAAAGGCCUGGGGUGAAAACAAGGAGAUCUGGACUAUGUCAGUGUAGUCCAUGACAUUUAGGAGUAUGUGCUUAAAACAGCAUGUGUCUUGAGAAAGAUAAGAUCAAAGAAAGUCUUGUAGUCUGCAAUUAGGAAUAAAAGCUGGACUCAGAGUGGACUCUGCACCUCAGUCCAGUAGAGGCUGCAGGUCCCCUGACCCACUGCAUCAGGUUUUGUGUUCUGUCUUCAUUCUCGUGGCUUGCUCCUGGACGGUUGAGGCAACAAUUGGCACCCAACGUGGGGCCAGAGCAAAAGACCUCUACGAGUGCAAGUGAAUCUACAGGGACGCAGAACCUGGGACGAUUGAGCGGCCUCUGAAAAUCUCCACUGUUUGUUUCUUCCAGAAUACAACAAAUCUCCAAGUGGUAGGAUGACAAGAAUAUUCCCUGACCAACACCCAGACAAUGCUGAAACAAGCCACCUUAUCAUUCCAUGGACUCUCAUCUCCCUCCGUAAAUGCACCUGACAGAGAGCAGACAAAGGGAACCCAGAGCCCCACGACGCCCCUGUACAGCCUGAAGAAGCCAGAGUGGUCAUCGCCCCUUUUCCCCUGAGACUGGGUUCCCAAAUGCCCGAGAAGGGAAAUAGGUAGACAGACACGAGCAGGGUAUCAAAAGAGG